UUCUUUUCUUGCAUUGUUAUCAUGUCAUCAUGUUGCAUUCAUGCAUAUCACCACCUUUGGCUUUUAUAAAAUUGCAUUUGGUUUUGGUUUUGUUUUUGUUUGCUUGCUUGGUCUUCUUCUACCUCUCUCUUGGUUCAUCCUCUCCCUCUUGUGAUGUUCCAAGAAAAGCUAACAAGCCAAACCUAUCUCUCUACUUGAUCUAUAUUUCAAAUAGGUCAUGCCAAAAUUCUUAUAUGGUUACUAUAAACCUAUCUCCACUCUCUUUCUAUUUUGCAAUGCUAAUAAGAUGAUCUUGAGUUGGGUUUCUUCCUUCUCCAAUUAUUUUGGUUUCUACUAAAUCUCUUUAUCUCCCUCUUAUUCUUUUCUUCUUUUAAUCUCAACCACCAUAGUUGGUAUACAAGGUUGAGUUUUCUCUGAUUUCAACUUCCUUUCAAAUAUUCAAAUAUUCUCUCCUCCAAUUUUCAGAAAAAGGUUUGGAAAGGAGAAAGAAAUAAAAACUGAAAACUGAAAAGAAAUAAAAGAAAAAGGAUAACUAAUCUAACCCAGCCCAUCUAACCUAACCCACGUAACUAGCCUAGCUAAUCCAAACCAGCAGCCCAGCCCAGCCCAGCUCACGUGAGAAGUUCCUGUAGGUCGUCUUCCUCCUGUACGAACCAGGCAAGGACCGCAUGAUCUUCUCUCCCUCUCCCGAUGCUUGCCACCUGCCCCUCUUCCUCUUCUUAAUGCACCAGGGCCGACCAACCCUAGCCGCACUUCCUCGCUCGCGCCGCUCCGCACCAUCCCCUCCUUUUUCUUCCACCUCUCUGUAUGUGUCCGAGAGGGUUUUUCCACGAGCCGCCAUCGACCGCUGCCGUCGCCAUGGACUGCCGCGCGCCUAGCUGAGUAGCAGAAAAGAACCGCCGCGUCUUCGUCGUCGUCCUCAUCUACUUCACGGAGCGGGGGACGCCAAGUUCUGCUCGGAAUCAUCCGUGCCGUCGCCGUCUUCUUCCCGGUGUCCAACGACCGCCGUUUCGCUGCCUCCUCUUCGCCGCCGAAUCCUUCGUCCGGCAGCAGCACAACGCCGACGCAGAGCAGUACGAGCAGGAGUACGAGUUCCCCCUGGAGGAUCGUGUCGGUGCUUCUACCUCUGAUCUGACAGGCGAGCCCACCCCUUCACCUAUUUUACUUUUACAUGCUCUUUUGAUCUAUUGCUAUCCUUAUGUUGCGAUUCUGUUGUGUCACGUGUCC